rnacentral:tRNA from 1 species
GCGGCUGUAGCUUAGUGGUAGAAUACUUGUCUUGUACGCAAGAUUCCUGGGUUCAAUCCCCAAUACCACCA